AUUCACUAGAGGGAGAUCGCAUUCUUUUUCCUCAUUCCAGACGGUCCUGAAGUGGAAAUACUGCUGAUGUCACGGACUUUUCUCCACCUUUUUAAGCCUUCAGGACUCUUUCUGAUCUCCGAAAUAUCAGUGUGACCUCAACGGAUGCCUGGAACAUGAACUGUUUGGCAAGUCAUUUUUGUUAUUGCUGAACGUGCCAAAUUGCAUCUGAGAAAAAAAAAAAAAACUAACGCUGGCAUUUAAUUACGAGUCAAAGCCAGCCCAUGGCAUGUUGCUAAUUGGAGAAGUGAUAUUUCCGUCAUGGAUUUUCCAACGGCACGUUCUGGACAGAAUGAUACUGUAGCAUGUCUUUGGAUAUGGGAGGAUCCUGGAGCACUCCGAGGAAACCCACAAAGACACAAGGGCAACAUGCAAACUCCACACAGGAAUGCUACGGUCGGAUUUGAACCCAGGACCUUCCUGCUGUUUCUUCAAGGUCAACUCACAGCUGAGAGACAGCAGGACCCAGCCCUGUGAUUCUACAGUACGUAGGGAAACAAAAGCUGCCCAUGCCUUUGAUGACCUGGAGACUGAAGAUUCGCUUCAACAAUUUUCUGGACAAUUUGAGAAUCAACAGCACAUUAUAAUUUAGGCCUUUUGUGCUUAAAGUGGACAGUGUAGAUUCAACUCUAACCGUUUAUUUGUGUGUAGAUGGGGUCAAAUAAACCGUAUCAGGAAAAAUAAACCGUGCUCUCCAGUGAAGCAUGACUUCUGUCGCAGGAUGUGUUCUAAAUAAUUUUUUUGUGUUUACAAAUCAUGACGUCGAAUUAUUCGAAUAAGUUGGGCUCUACUGGGGAAAUGGAUUGACAUUUUAGACAUUGGUCACCUCCUCUAUUAUUUUUUAGGUGCCAAUAUCAUUUUUUUUUUUUUUUUUGCCCCGUGACACAAGGUAAUUCACCCCACCUUUAAGGUUGGUGACUCAUAAAAACGAAAUCACGCUUAAAUAGUAAACACCAUAACAACGAUGACAUUAAAGGUUUUCCCAGAUGGCGAAAGCAGCGUUUUAAUGAAGGGCCACGGCAGGCCGAAGCAACCGCCACAAACCAGAGCCAAACAAUGAAUUAAUCAAGUUAAUUGCAUCCCGGACAAAUGCGCUGGAAAUGUAUGAUAAAGGCGAUAAAUGACUUGUGGAGCAACGCAACGUGUUCAUUAGCCGGGAAAGAGGACGCGAAACUGUGAGGCAGGCACGUGGAGGCCCCGGUUCCCCGCGUGCGCGGUACGUCCCGACAGCGCGGCGGAAGCACAGCUGCGGCGUGUCGCGCGGGCGAACUUAAUUACCUCUCCUCAGAGGUGACGGUCGCCCCCGGAUGGACAAACAGACGCGGACCGCGGGGUUCGUCCGUGUCGGCGACGGAAGGAGGGAAAGAAAAUAUAAAACUCCUAGAGGUCCUUUACACAGACCCUCUAUUUAUCAUCCCACACAGCUCCGGGCUCUCGCGUGUCCUUUUCAAUUAACCCCCGGGCCACGGCUCAAACCAAACAACUGGCGGGGGUGCGCCCGGGCCGGCCCCAGCCGUUAGGUAGCCCGGGAUGUGGUGAUUAGCCCCUUCCGGAUGAUGGAUGGACUGGAGCGAGCUGGCGAGGUGUCAAUAUGCACAGAUGCGGAGGAGGAGUCCGUGGGAGGCCCGGGCCACACCGUCGGACCUUCCGCACGCGCGCGCGGUAGCCGGCUGACUGCGAGGAUGAGCGGACGCUUCGCUUCCCCCAGAUAUGUCGGGGCAUCGCUGUGAUUGGCCGGCGGCCAGCCGAACGGCUACAGUAGUGCGCUGCGUAGGCCCAUGUGCCUCCUGUAAACGCUUGUGCAUUUGUGUAAAAUGAACUGGAAUUUCAGACAACCAAUAAAUAUUUUCAUGACAA